AUUGAACGCUGGCGGUAGGCCUAACACAUGCAAGUCGAACGGCAGCACAGUAAGAGCUUGCUCUUACGGGUGGCGAGUGGCGGACGGGUGAGGAAUACAUCGGAAUCUACUUUUUCGUGGGGGAUAACGUAGGGAAACUUACGCUAAUACCGCAUACGACCUACGGGUGAAAGCAGGGGAUCUUCGGACCUUGCGCGAUUGAAUGAGCCGAUGUCGGAUUAGCUAGUUGGCGGGGUAAAGGCCCACCAAGGCGACGAUCCGUAGCUGGUCUGAGAGGAUGAUCAGCCACACUGGAACUGAGACACGGUCCAGACUCCUACGGGAAGCAGCAGUGGGGAAUAUUGGACAAUGGGCGCAAGCCUGAUCCAGCCAUAGCGCGUGGGUGAAGAAGGCCUUCGGGUUGUAAAGCCCUUUUGUUGGGAAAGAAAAGCAGCAGGUUAAUACCCCGCUGUUCUGACGGUACCCAAAGAAUAAGCACCGGCUAACUUCGUG
rnacentral:rRNA from 1 species